UGUAGCUAGAAUAGGUUGAGACAUCAAACCUGUUAGGUGAGGGUUGAUGAGGUGGCUUAACCUGUCAGCUGAAGGUCCUACCAUUCUCAUUAGAGUACCUGCCAGACGAGGGUCACUCACAGCUUGUCCUUACCCAUGGAAUGGUACUAAUAUCCUUCUAACUGGGUUACUGGUUGGACCCCAAAUCUAUCUAGAAAAAAAGGGGCAUGUCAGUUAGAUGAUUGCCUCCCA
rnacentral:lncRNA from 1 species